rnacentral:sRNA from 1 species
UCCUCGCCGCCGCUUCCUCUCGAGAAGGCGCGGGGCGGGCUGUCCGGCCCGCAGGGCGGUCGAGCCCGCGGCGCCAUGGCUCACGUCGGCUCCCGCAAGCGCUCGAGGAGUCGCAGCCGGUCCCGGGGACGGGGGUCGGAAAAGAGAAAGAAGAAGAGCAGGAAGGACGCCUCGAGGAACUGCUCGGCCUCCACAUCCCAAGGUCGCAAGGCCAGCACGGCCCCUGGGGUGGAGGGUGAGGACCACAGGCAUCGGGGAGAGGAGGCGCAGCUACUUCCUGGGGAAGUCGGGGCGAGCAGUGGUCGGGGACGCUCAGUCAUGCCUUUGUGCAGCCGGGCCUGAGGUGUGAGGGCCAGGCGCCGCAGGAGCCGGGAAGGGGCUCCUCUGGGAAGCUCCAUCUCUGUUCUGGAAAGCCCCUUAGAAAGUGCCCACGCUGUAGACUGUCUGUGCCUGCGCUAGGCCAGAGCAGGGGAGGAAGGUUUACCUCUUCUCCUCCUGGCCUUCCAGCCUCACCUUCUCCCUGCAUCACAGAGAGAAGCAAGCAGAAGGCCCGGAGGAGACCACGAUCCAGCUCCUCCUCCUCUUCUUCCAGUUCUUCUAGCUCCUCUUCUUCCUCCUCGUCCUCCUCCUCUUCCUCCAGUGAUGGCCGGAAGAAGCGGGGGAAGUACAAGGACAAGAAGAGGAAGAAGAAGAAGAGAAGGAAGAAGCUGAAGAAGAAGGGCAAGGAGAAGGCGGAAGCACAGCAGGUGGAGGCUCUGCCGGGCCCCUCGCUGGACCAGUGGCACCGAUCAGCUGGGGAGGAAGAGGAUGGCCCAGGUACUGUGCUGCCCAGCACCUGAGAGGGAGAAGGUCCCUUCCCAAGGCCUGGUCACCACCUCCGUCUUCCCUUCCAGUCCUGACGGAUGAGCAGAAGUCCCGAAUCCAGGCCAUGAAGCCCAUGACCAAGGAGGAGUGGGAUGCCCGGCAGAGCAUCAUCCGCAAGGUGGUGGACCCCGAGACGGGGCGCACCAGGUGGGGAGCCUUUGGCCUGACUUAGACCACAGGGUCUGGGAGUGUUGGCUGAAGAUGUGUGCUCUCGGGAGGAGUGGGGCCGGGCGGGGUUCCUGCUGCCUGAAAAAGGCCAAAUGUGGGCAAAAAUACGGUCACUUGGAGUAAAUAGUUGCAGAGGCUGGAAGGGCCUGGAGGAGGCUCUUCAAAGGACUGUUGUUGGCCGGGCUGAGGCUGGCAAGGCAGAGCCCAGCUCCGCUGCCUUUGGAAGGGCUGCCGGGGGCGGGGAGCCCUGGGACCCCUCUGCCGGCUGCUUGCGGUUCUGCUCCUCUGGCAUUAGGGGACCUGCCUAUUCCUUGCUGAAUGGAGACCCUCCCACCCCCAGGCUUAUUAAGGGAGAUGGCGAGGUCCUAGAGGAAAUCGUAACCAAAGAACGACACAGAGAGAUCAACAAGCAAGCCACCCGAGGGGACGGCCUGGCCUUCCAGAUGCGAGCUGGGUUGCUUCCCUGAGGGCCCCCGUUGGCCAAGGCCUGUGGACGGUGCUGGCGGCCCAGCCUGGGCAGGUUUCAGGGUGCCAGUGGGAAGCCUGAUGGGUGCUGGUGGCCUUUCCCCCGUGGAUUGGCCUCUGGGCCAGCCCAGCCUCUUCUCAGGGGCAGGGGGUGGAGGUUGAGGUCACCGGCCUGCUUGGCACCCCUAUCUGAAAGAGCAACACUUUUCAGCUAUUAAAGGCCCUCUGGAUA